ACGAACGCUGGCGGCGUGCUUAACACAUGCAAGUCGAACGGAAAGGCCCUGCUUUUGUGGGGUGCUCGAGUGGCGAACGGGUGAGUAACACGGGAGUAACCUGCCCUUGACUUUGGGAUAACUUCAGGAAACUGGGGCUAAUACCGGAUAGGAGCUCCUGCUGCAUGGUGGGGGUUGGAAAGUUUCGGCGGUUGGGGAUGGACUCGCGGCUUAUCAGCUUGUUGGUGGGGUAGUGGCUUACCAAGGCUUUGACGGGUAGCCGGCCUGAGAGGGUGACCGGCCACAUUGGGACUGAGAUACGGCCCAGACUCCUACGGGAGGCAGCAGUGGGGAAUAUUGCACAAUGGGCGGAAGCCUGAUGCAGCAACGCCGCGUGCGGGAUGACGGCCUUCGGGUUGUAAACCGCUUUCGCCUGUGACGAAGCGUGAGUGACGGUAAUGGGUAAAGAAGCACCGGCUAACUACGUG
rnacentral:rRNA from 1 species